rnacentral:rRNA from 1 species
UACGUAGGCAGCAAGCGUUGUUCGGAGUUACUGGGCGUAAAGGGUGCGUAGGCGGUCCUAUAAGUAUGGUGUGAAAUCUCCCGGCUUAACUGGGAGGGUGCGCUAUAGACUGUGGGACUAGAGUGUGGGAGAGGAAAGUGGAAUUCCUGGUGUAGCGGUGAAAUGCGUAGAUAUCAGGAGGAACACCGGUGGUGUAAACGGCUUUCUGGACCAUAACUGACGCUGAGGCACGGAAGCGUGGGUAGCAAACAGG